rnacentral:rRNA from 1 species
UACGUAGGGGGCAAGCGUUGUCCGGAUUUAUUGGGCGUAAAGCGCGUGUAGGCGGCCAGAUAGGUCUGCUGUGAAAACUCGAGGCUCAACCUCGAGCUGUCGGCGGAAACCAUCUGGCUAGAGUCCGGAAGAGGAGAGUGGAAUUUCUGGUGUAGCGGUGAAAUGCGCAGAUAUCAGGAAGAACACCUAUGGCGAAGGCAGCUCUCUGGGACGGUACUGACGCUGAGACGCGAAAGCGUGGGGAGCGAACAGG